GCAGGCGCGAAACCUUUACACUGYWYKACAGUGCGAUAGGGGGAUCCCAAGUGCACAGGCAUAGCGCCUGUGCUUUUCGGUACCCUAAGGCGGUACCAGAAUAAGGGCUGGGCAAGACCGGUGCCAGCCGCCGCGGUAAUACCGGCAGCCCAAGUGAUGGCCGAUCUUAUUGGGCCUAAAGCGUCCGUAGCUGGCCGUACAAGUCCAUCGGGAAAUCCACCUGCUCAACAGGUGGGCGCCCGGUAGAAACUGUGCGGCUUGGGACCGGAAGGCGCGACGGGUACGUCCGGGGUAGGAGUGAAAUCCCGUAAUCCUGGACGGACCGCCGAUGGCGAAAGCACGUCGCGAGAACGGAUCCGACAGUGAGGGACGGAAGCCAGGGUCUCGAACCGGAUUAGAUACCCGGGUAGUCCUGGCCGUAAACAAUGUCUGCUAGGUGUGGCUCCCACUACGAGUGGGUGCUGUGCCGUAGGGAAGCCGCUAAGCAGACCGCCUGGGAAGUACGUCCGCAAGGAUGAAACUUAAAGGAAUUGGCGGGGGAGCACUACAACCGGAGGAGCCUGCGGUUUAAUUGGAUUCAACGCCGG
rnacentral:rRNA from 1 species